rnacentral:rRNA from 1 species
UCGAACGGUAACAGGCCUUCGGGCGCUGACGAGUGGCGGACGGGUGAGUAACGCGUAGGAAUCUGCCUGGUAGUGGGGGACAACUUGGGGAAACUCAAGCUAAUACCGCAUACGCCCUACGGGGGAAAGCGGGGGCUCUUCGGACCUCGCGCUAUCAGAUGAGCCUGCGUUAGAUUAGCUAGUUGGUAGGGUAAAGGCCUACCAAGGCGACGAUCUAUAGCUGGUCUGAGAGGACGAUCAGCCACACUGGGACUGAGACACGGCCCAGACUCCUACGGGAGGCAGCAGUGGGGAAUAUUGGACAAUGGGCGAAAGCCUGAUCCAGCAAUACCGCGUGUGUGAAGAAGGCCUGAGGGUUGUAAAGCACUUUCAAUUGGGAGGAAAAAGGUGAGGUUAAUACCCUUACCCUUGACAUUACCUUUAGAAGAAGCACCGGCUAACUCCGUGCCAGCAGCCGCGGUAAUACGGAGGGUGCGAGCGUUAAUCGGAAUUACUGGGCGUAAAGCGUGCGUAGGCGGUUAUUUAAGUCAGAUGUGAAAGCCCCGGGCUUAACCUGGGAACGGCAUUUGAUACUGGGUAACUAGAGUUUAAUAGAGGAGAGUGGAAUUUCAGGUGUAGCGGUGAAAUGCGUAGAGAUCUGAAGGAACAUCAGUGGCGAAGGCGGCUCUCUGGAUUAAAACUGACGCUGAGGUACGAAAGCGUGGGUAGCAAACAGGAUUAGAUACCCUGGUAGUCCA